CAGGAGUUUGCUCAUUCACCAAGUUUUGAAGGGUUUGAAGCAAAAAGUGAGUUUGAGAGAGAGUUUGCAAGUUUGAGAAGAGGUGAUCCGUUUUCCCUUGGUCAGAGUGUUUAGCUUCUUGCUACAGGAGGUAAGUGAUGCUUUUGACCAUGGUUUUAUGUGUUUUGUGCAGGUUUUAUGGAAGUUAAGGGAGAGAGAUGCAUGGGUAAGGGAGAAGUAGUGUUUUUGAUGAGUUAUGCAUGUAUACAUGAUUCUGUGUUAUGUUUGUUUUGUUGUUUGGGGUUAUUAGCUAGUUUUGGACCCCUGUGAUCAUAUACUUAUGUAUAUGUGAGUUGAGGAGUUGGUAUAUGCAUAUUUGGAGUUGUUAAAGGGAAGGAGG
rnacentral:lncRNA from 1 species